rfam:Gossypium hirsutum cultivar TM-1 chromosome 25, whole genome shotgun sequence
GGCCUAUUAGCUGAGUUGGUUAAAGCGUCGUGCUAAUAAUGCGAAGGUUGCUUGCAUGGGCCA